rnacentral:rRNA from 1 species
AGUACCGUGAGGGAAAGGUGAAAAGAACCCCGGGAGGGGAGUGAAAGAGAACCUGAAACCCUGCACUUACAAGCUGUGGGAGCACAUUACUUGUGUGACCGCGUACUUUUUGUAGAACGGGCCAACGAGUUACGUUAAGUAGCAAGGUUAAGCACUUAAGGUGUGGAGCCGUAGCGAAAGCGAGUCUUAAAUGGGCGUCCAGUUACCCGACGUAGACCCGAAACCAGGCGACCUAUCCAUGAGCAGGUUGAAGCGAAAGUAAAAUUUCGUGGAGGACCGAACCCACGAGCGUUGAAAAGCUCGGGGAUGACUUGUGGAUAGCGGUGAAAUUCCAAUCGAGCCCGGAGAUAGCUGGUUCUCCCCGAAAUAGCUUUAGGGCUAGCCUCAAGCGUAGAGAAACGGAGGUAGAGCACUGAAUGUCCUAGGGGGUAUUGCACUUACCGAAGACUAUCAAACUCCGAAUGCCGUUUUCUUUUACUUGGGAGUCAGACUGUGGGUGAUAAGAUUCAUAGUCAAAAGGGCAACAGCCCAGAUCGUCAGCUAAGGUCCCUAAAUGUACGUUAAGUGGUAAAGGAUGUGGGAUUGCACAGACAACCAGGAUGUUGGCUUAGAAGCAGCCACUCAUUUAAAGAGUGCGUAAUAGCUCACUGGUCGAGUGAUCCUGCGCCGAAAAUUUCCGGGGCUAAAACGUACUACCGAAGCUACGGCAUCAUUUAUGAUGGGUAGGAGAGCUUCCCAUACGGGUUGAAGCAUGACCGAAAGGACAUGUGGACUGUAUGGGAGUGAGAAUGUUGGCAUGAGUAGCGAGAUGUGGGUGAGAAUCCCACAGGCCGUAAACCCAAGGUUUCCAGGGGAAGGUUCGUCCGCCCUGGGUUAGUCAGGACCUAAGCCGAGGCCGAAAGGCGUAGGUGAUGGACAACAGGUUGAUAUUCCUGUACCACCAAUAACCGUUUGAGAAAUGGGAUGACACAGUAGGAUAAGCUAACCGCACUGUUGGUUAUGUGCGGGCAAGUAUUGAGGCAGUUCCGAUAGGCAAAUCCGUCGGAAUAAUGCUGGGGUACGAUGCGGAGCGAAAUUUAGUAGCGAAGUAGCUGAUUUCACACUGUCGAGAAAAGUCUCUAUCGAGGUUAAAGGUGCCUGUACCGCAAACCGACACAGGUGGGUGAGGAGAGUAUCCUAAGGCCAGCGAGAGAACUGUUGUUAAGGAACUCGGCAAAAUGACCCCGUAACUUAGGGAGAAGGGGUGCCUUCGAAAGAAGGCCGCAGAGAAUAGGCCCAAGCGACUGUUUACCAAAAACAUAGGUUUCUGCUAAGUCGCAAGACGAUGUAUAGGAGCUGACGCCUGCCCGGUGCUGGAAGGUUAAGGGGAUCUGUUAGAGCAAUCGAAGCAGUGAACUUAAGCCCCAGUAAACGGCGGCCGUAACUAUAACGGUCCUAAGGUAGCGAAAUUCCUUGUCGGGUAAGUUCCGACCCGCACGAAAGGCGUAACGAUUUGGGCACUGUCUCAACAACAGACUCGGUGAAAUUGUAAUACCGGUGAAGAUGCCGGUUACCUGCGACAGGACGGAAAGACCCCAUGGAGCUUUACUGUAGCUUGACAUUGAGUCUCGGUGCUACAUGUACAGGAUAGGUGGGAG